CGAGCGGCGAACGGGUGAGUAACACGUGGGUGAUCUGCCCUGCACUCUGGGAUAAGCCUGGGAAACUGGGUCUAAUACCGGAUAUGACCUCUGGUUGCAUGACCGGGGGUGGAAAGAUUUAUCGGUGCAGGAUGGGCCCGCGGCCUAUCAGCUUGUUGGUGGGGUAAUGGCCUACCAAGGCGACGACGGGUAGCCGGCCUGAGAGGGCGACCGGCCACACUGGGACUGAGACACGGCCCAGACUCCUACGGGAGGCAGCAGUGGGGAAUAUUGCACAAUGGGCGGAAGCCUGAUGCAGCGACGCCGCGUGAGGGAUGACGGCCUUCGGGUUGUAAACCUCUUUCGACAGGGACGAAGCGCAAGUGACGGUACCUGUAGAAGAAGCACCGGCCAACUACGUGCCAGCAGCCGCGGUAAUACGUAGGGUGCGAGCGUUGUCCGGAAUUACUGGGCGUAAAGAGCUUGUAGGCGGCUUGUCGCGUCGAUCGUGAAAACUUGGGGCUCAACCCCAAGCUUGCGGUCGAUACGGGCAGGCUUGAGUACUGCAGGGGAGACUGGAAUUCCUGGUGUAGCGGUGAAAUGCGCAGAUAUCAGGAGGAACACCGGUGGCGAAGGCGGGUCUCUGGGCAGUAACUGACGCUGAGAAGCGAAAGCGUGGGUAGCGAACAGGAUUAGAUACCCUGGUAGUCCACGCCGUAAACGGUGGGCGCUAGGUGUGGGUUUCCUUCCACGGGAUCCGUGCCGUAGCUAACGCAUUAAGCGCCCCGCCUGGGGAGUACGGCCGCAGGCUAAAACUCAAAGGAAUUGACGGGGGCCCGCACAAGCGGCGGAGCAUGUGGAUUAAUUCGAUGCAACGCGAAGAACCUUACCUGGGUUUGACAUACACCGGAAACCUGCAGAGAUGUAGGCCCCCUUGUGGUCGGUGUACAGGUGGUGCAUGGCUGUCGUCAGCUCGUGUCGUGAGAUGUUGGGUUAAGUCCCGCAACGAGCGCAACCCUUGUCCUGUGUUGCCAGCAAGUGAUGUUGGGGACUCGCAGGAGACUGCCGGGGUCAACUCGGAGGAAGGUGGGGACGACGUCAAGUCAUCAUGCCCCUUAUGUCCAGGGCUUCACACAUGCUACAAUGGCCGGUACAGAGGGCUGCGAUACCGUGAGGUGGAGCGAAUCCCUUAAAGCCGGUCUCAGUUCGGAUCGGGGUCUGCAACUCGACCCCGUGAAGUUGGAGUCGCUAGUAAUCGCAGAUC
rnacentral:rRNA from 1 species